AAAGGCUCCUCAGAAGCAUAGCAAUAUUCAUACAGGGCCACCUCCUGGUGCUGGAACCAGGCCACAAUCUGCGACAUUGCACCAAAGGGAUAAAGGAAGCAUGGGGCAAAAGGACAUCUUGUCACCUUCCUAGUGUCUCCAUAAUCUGCUGCCUAAGGUGAAUACCUCACCUCACUUCAUGGAAGAGCUGCCCUAAAGACCCAUGAGCAUUGGAGUCUUCCUGGGGUCUCUAAAUUUACUUCAAGGAGGACCCACACUUGGAAAAGAAGGCCUUUGGGGCUGACUGCAGCAGAUUCAGGUCAAAGGAUGGCCUGUACUUAACAGGCAUGAAGUCAAAAUGUCUCUUCCCUCGUGGUACCCAGCCUGCCAUUCUAACAGACCUAACUGAAAGUGAUCUCAUGUCAGAUGCCUGAGUGUUUGUUGUCAGCAAAACAAAUAAUACACUACACCAUGGGGAACAACAUGAGUCUGGAGGUAAAGGUGAAAGCGUUUCUUUCGACAGUUGUCAGCUGAUGUUGGGAAUAAAAUAUUUAUUGUCACCUGC